GAGGAUAGGAAGCAGGCUCUGCACUGACAGCAGACGGCCCGACGUGGGGCUUGAACUCACACACUGUGAAAUCAUGACCUGGAGCCGAAGUUUGACAGAGACUGAGCCAACCAGGCACCCCUGGGGUUCUAUCUUAAAUUGUAAAUAGCCCUGGGAAGGUGGAGUUGCUCUGGACUUUUCAUGGCUUUGAGCGAACCGCUUUGAAUAGGCUGCCUUUCCAGACAUGCAGUACGAUUGGUGUGCCUUUAUGGUGUGGGGUGUGGGAGUUCAGGGGAAGGCUCUGAACGAAUGUUCUAGAAGGGGGUUGGAGCAUGGCCUCAUUGGAUGCCUUGAGGCAAUUAAGAAGGGUACAAGGUAGAGAAGACCUAGGUGUUAAGAGAGGCUUCCAGGAGAGAGAAGAGAAGGCACGAACGCCUCCAGCUUCUGCGGCUUUGCUGUGCAGGACCACGCCCUGGCGUGGAGCUCGCUUAUCUCCAGCCUCUCCCCUUCCCUGUGGUGGGUGGGGCAUACCAGCCUGCUGAGGAAAUACCUAGAAAUGACCUAUGGGGCAACUGUUAAGACUGGUACUUUUCCACUCCAUAUGUUGAUGGUGCUUCUAAGAUCCCCAAUAUGUACUCCUGCAUAGUCUUGAGGAGUGCUGGGGCUCCCCAGAGGGACGUUCAAGCUCGGGCUGCAUCCCAUAAUGGUGGUUCUUUGACUCUGUAGAGGUCACCACAGAAGGGUUUCUUUGUCAUUUGCCAUCGCCAUUUCUCCUCAGUCUAGUGUCUGCCCCUCUUGGGCGAUUUCUGAUGGUGGGAUAUGUUUUCCACUGGGGCCUACGCUUACCACCUGCCUCCCAGUUUUCCCGUCGCCUUCAGAAGCUAGUUAUUUUUACAAAGGAGCACUCCUCCCUCCAACCCAAUCUUAAAUACAGUUUUGGAACAAGGAGCCUGCCUCCUCUAAGGUAACGGCCGCUCUCCUGUACCAGCUGCUGUCACUUCCUUCACAUGAGUGGACACGUGUUUCCUCUCCUGGUUCCUCUUUAUUUCUCUGCCCUUCCCCCUCUGUGGGGAUGAGGGCAGGCAGGGCUCCUCGCACCAGGUGUUGCGUAUCUGAUCAGUGCCCUAGAACCGACUGGCAGAAGAUUCUGACCAGGUCUUCCUACAAAGUCUCCACCAGCAUCUGGAGGUUUGGGUUGCAAGACAAAGGCUGGUUCCCCAUCCAUCAGCUUUCUCGAUGUCUUCUCUUCCUGGGGUCAGACUGGUAUGUAUUGCUUUAGUUUUGGCCAAUUCCAGACAUAGCCUGUGCCAGGGGUCCGGAGGGAGACAAAAGGAAAAGGGACGCCCACUUCAGGAAGAGAUUUAAACAAGAUAAAAUUUUCUCUUUCUCACGGAAUUAUCUGAGAAUAAGCAGUCUAACGGCCCUUAGCAUCAGGGAUGGAACCCAAGAUGUGGCCUACACGAAGCCGGAGGUUUGGCCCUGCUGCAACACCGUCCCCUCAGCGAGCACCGCUGGCUGCUGUCUCGGCCUCAGUUUAAAGCUCUGUUGGCUCGCCCCGACCUGAGUCCUAGGUAUUUUGUGCCUGCUCCUUCUCUAGACUGGGAUGUCCUUGAAAGAGGCCACCACAACCCUCUGCUUUCCUUCUGGCCCCUUCCCCCAUCCAUCCCCAGCAGAAGCCGUUGUGAACCUCGGAAAGCCUAAGCGACGUUACUCACAAUUCACAUUACUCCCCUGCUCUGUGCCCUCCCAUGGCUUUGCCUGAGGCCUCGAGUAAAAUCCAUACUUGUCACCGUAGGGCCCCUAAUGACUCCCAACAUCAUUCCUUCCUACUUUCCCCUCCCCUCACUCACCACUCUCCGGCCAUGUUGGCCUCUCCCAUCCCGCCAAGCUCACUCUGCCUUGGCUGUUCUUCUGCUUAACACGCUCUUCCCUGGACCUCCAUGUGGUCUGCUGCUCCUUGUUAUUCAUUCCACAGUCCCAAUGUUACUUCUUCUGAAAAGCCUUCCAGACCACCUUUCUAAGUGGACUUCCCCAUCCCAGCAUAAUUCUGUGCCCUGUUACCCUGUUUGAAUGUCUUCAUAGCAUUUAGGAUUAUUAGAAUGAUCUGUUUGAUUUGUUUUCCUGUUUGCCUGCUGUCCGUUCAUUACCCACCCCCACCUCCCACCCACUAGACUGUAAACUCUACAAGACACUCUACGAUUGAGUCACCUUGUGUCUCCAGUACCUAGAACUCCAGCGUGCAGGGAUGGGAGGCACUUGGCUAUGAACCAGGUGAAUCCUGAAUGUUUCACAGCACUAAGCUCAGUUUGCUCAUUUAACAAAGCUUUCGAAAUGAUUCUUAUUUCAACCAAAAUGUGAAUACAGUUUUGGGUCUUCUCCAGAAAAACUAAUUCACAGAGCAGCCUUACAAAAACAUGACACAUUUGACAGAAAUAGCUGGACCCCAGAUUGCACGUGUAGGGGCGCAGGCGGGGUCCUGGGCUAUGGGAAUGUUUGCCAGUCCAAUUUAAGGUGUGCGUAAAAAGUGCAGAAUAAGCUUUUGCUUGUACCCCCUGUACCAACGUCCUCUCUGGUGCCUAGUGGCAAGCUGGCAAGAAGCAGCCUGUGAGGGCAUGGGGCAGAAAAGCGUCAGUCCUGGAUUUCUGCCUUGCUCCAGCCUCCUAAUACCCAUGAGGAGAUAGCAGCUCUCAGCACCUGGCCCAGGCUCUCCAUGAAAUCCUGGCAUGGCAACCAGAUGUGGGAUGCCAGGCCGCCACACAGGGAGGCGAGAGAGCUUCAGUGAAGGAGACCGGUGCUGACAGAGGGGAACAGAAGCACGCCAGGGAACAGCUGGAGCCCGGGACGGAGGCAGCGGGGGAACAGACCUUGGUCUCCAUCAAGGUUUCAAGCCAUCCACUGACAUCGCUCGUCAGGGAUUUUACCGCUCUCCCAGGACGUGCAGCUAUCGAGGCUCUCUUUGGAAACUUUGUUCUGCCCACAAGUACUCAUGGACAUUCACAUGCUUUCAGAGGUCGUGUAGACGCCCUUAAAAUCCCAUUUGUGACUAUUUUAAAGGUCGCUUUUUAUUUACACCGAAAAUACGUAUAAGAACUGUUUCUGUGAAAUUAGGUCACAGUCAGCGAGAACCAAGAGACUUAACAUUCCUCUGUGCAGGAAACAGUUUCAUCAUCACUGCCAUCAAAGACGCUGCAUGGAAGGUCAGCUCUGGACUGUGUGUAGAGCGCUCCGAUCGAGAUCGUUAGAUCUCUGCAGAUAGGCGGCGAACGCGUCACUACAAAUGUGGGUAGAAGGAGGACACCCUAAAGUUUCACGAAUGAAGAGAUUUUCUGAGGAUCAAGCCAACGGCCACGCUUCCCUCCCAUCCCCGGAUCUGUCCCCACCCACCGCAAAAAGGCAAAAGGAAAAGGAAGAGCCAUCCUUUUGCUGUGCCUCUCUCGCUGAGUUCCCCUUCACAUUCUCUGAGGAAUUAUCUAUGCCUAUUUUAUCAGUGGAGAAAAGGAGGCUCAGAACGGCCCAGAAACUUGCCAGCCGUCACGUGGGUAGAAGCAAACUGAGAAGCAAAUGCUUUCCAGAGUUGGGCCGCGUCUGGGAGGUACUACCUUUAAACAUGGAGUCGACUGCGACCUAACGAGACCCAAGGAGUCUGCUGGCUGGCCUGGUCCCCAAGCAGAAGCAGAUCACUGCCCAACUUCUACGUGUGGGACGACCCGUGGCAACAUAAAGGGCAAACACACAAGGAAGUCUUUCUUUCUGAGAAUGUUUCCACUGCAGUUAGGUUAGAAAAUGAUCCGGGGAAGAUAUAAACUAGCUCUUUCAUUUAGCAAAAUAAAAUGCCUCUCCACUUGGUAAUCUGGGUGGUGGAAGUCCCAGCCAGAGUCUUGGUUUUUAAAGGUUUUGUUUAAUUUGCCACCCCCACACCUCUCCUCCCACCGCCUAGCAUCAGGCUGGACAAGAAGAAAGGGGACAGUGGCCUGGCAGAUGCCUCCAUGUGGUAUGUCCUUGCAGAAUAGCUUCAGCAGCACUUUAUAUCAAAUAACCAGGGGAAAAAAGGGAAGUGGAGGUGAUGGGAAGUGUCUGCAUUUCCUGGGGUUUUGUUCCAGUUUUAAUGAAUAAGGAUAAUGCAUAGAGUGUCUCCAUUUCCAGAGCUGUGUUUUUUCCUUAAACACUGCCGCUCUUCAUGGGGAAAGAAUGAGACAUUCCUGACACAUGAUUUGGCAGGUCUCAAUCAUAAACGAUCCAAUAUUGGCUUUCAGAAUCCCGUUCCAGAUUUGGCCCAGACUCCAAACCCUGUCCAGGCACCAGCUAGAUGAGUACCUCUGGGCCUGGGCGGGGUGCCAGCCACACUUUGAAUAACAUUUGUGGAAUCUCCCCAGGGGUUCUGGUGAGGAAGGCAGUGAUUUGUUGUCCGGAUAGCUUUUCCCUCCUUGGAAAAGAGCACACGGAAUGAAAGUGCAUGAAGGACAUCAGGUGUCCCCACAAGAGUUUCAUAAAAGCAAAAACACGGAGGAGCCACCAUGCAGGGACCAAGUGAGGAACGUUUUGUCCCCGCCCUAAGGUACUUGCCCUCAAUCAGCUAAUCCCACUAUGGUACAGCUGGUGGCACCUGUCAAGUUAAAAAGUGAAAUCUACCAAACUUAUUUGUCUUUGGGGGUGGGGCUGUGUCUUUUCCUGAGUGGUGCCCCGUCCGGCAUUUCUCGAAACAUGAUCUAGAGACUCUUCUGCAUUAGAAUCGAGGGGAUCUAGUUCAAUGGUGGAUUUUUGGUCUCCUAAUCACCUACCAAGUAUGUGCGAACUAGAGCCAAGAAUUUGCUUCACAGCAACCUUCCAGGCAAUCCUGAUACACCCCGAAGUUGUGAGCCAUUGGCUAUAAAAAAUCCUUCACAGAUUUUUAAUCCAUUGCAGCACCUCGCGGCGGUGGAGAGUAAGACUGGCUUCGUUUUGCUGAUGGCCACGUGAAUUUGUUUCACUGCAUGUCUAUUUGCCGGAGGGAAAGUUUGAACUGCUAAAGACAGGGGCUACUUUAAGCCUUUGCUCUUGCCGAUUGAUACAUGUGUCUUGUCCUUUUGCAGUUAUGGUUAUCAUCUGCCCACUAACAGUAUUUCUAAGAAGCUGCUUCUCCGUGUCUUCUGGGAAGAAUGUAUCCUUCAAUGUAUGUGAUUGCAGCCUGUUGAUAAAAGCAAAAGAAAAAUAAUAAAACCCACUUUGUUGAACUUCUCA